UUGAAAGGGAAACGAUUGAAGUCAGUUGUACCUGUGGGUAAUCAGCUUUUGGGUGUGAUUAUGUGGAGUGUGAAGAGUUAAAGCUUUAUGNUGAUAUUGUGAUUUGGGUGUAUUUACGUGUGGUAAGUUAAAUAAUUUUGGUGUAUAGAAUGGUGGAGGAAUGUAGUUGAUUGUAUUGAAGUGUUAUAGNUUGGUAGAUGUGGUGAUGGGAUUGAGGAUUGAAGAUACCUUUGGGGCUAACNGUUAGAUAAAUUGAUGGUCGAUGGGUUAAUUCGUUAAGGAUGUUGACGUA
rnacentral:rRNA from 1 species